rnacentral:tRNA from 1 species
GGCGCCAUAGCUCAGUUGGUAGAGCAACGGACUGAAAAUCCGUGUGUCCCUAGUUCGAUCCUUGGUGGUGCCA